rnacentral:rRNA from 1 species
UUAACUGGGCGUUAAGUUGCAGGGUAUAGACCCGAAACCCGGUGAUCUAGCCAUGGGCAGGUUGAAGGUUGGGUAACACUAACUGGAGGACCGAACCGACUAAUGUUGAAAAAUUAGCGGAUGACUUGUGGCUGGGGGUGAAAGGCCAAUCAAACCGGGAGAUAGCUGGUUCUCCCCGAAAGCUAUUUAGGUAGCGCCUCGUGAAUUCAUCUCCGGGGGUAGAGCACUGUUUCGGCAAGGGGGUCAUCCCGACUUACCAACCCGAUGCAAACUGCGAAUACCGGAGAAUGUUAUCACGGGAGACACACGGCGGGUGCUAACGUCCGUCGUGAAGAGGGAAACAACCCAGACCGCCAGCUAAGGUCCCAAAGUCAUGGUUAAGUGGGAAACGAUGUGGGAAGGCCCAGACAGCCAGGAUGUUGGCUUAGAAGCAGCCAUCAUUUAAAGAAAGCGUAAUAGCUCACUGGUCGAGUCGGCCUGCGCGGAAGAUGUAACGGGGCUAAACCAUGCACCGAAGCUGCGGCAGCGACGCUGAUGCGUUGUUGGGUAGGGGAGCGUUCUGUAAGCCUGUGAAGGUGUACUGUGAGGUAUGCUGGAGGUAUCAGAAGUGCGAAUGCUGACAUAAGUAACGAUAAAGCGGGUGAAAAGCCCGCUCGCCGGAAGACCAAGGGUUCCUGUCCAACGUUAAUCGGGGCAGGGUGAGUCGACCCCUAAGGCGAGGCCGAAAGGCGUAGUCGAUGGGAAACAGGUUAAUAUUCCUGUACUUGGUGUUACUGCGAAGGGGGGACGGAGAAGGCUAUGUUGGCCGGGCGACGGUUGUCCCGGUUUAAGCGUGUAGGCUGGUUUUCCAGGCAAAUCCGGAAAAUCAAGGCUGAGGCGU